rnacentral:rRNA from 1 species
AUGUGUACGGCAGAUCUUGUCUGGAGAAGUGGCUGCAAGAAAACGCUAAGGUACGUACCACCAUAUGCAGGAUUCUCAACUUUUUCAGUUGGUACGUACCAGCUGAAUGAUUUUAACCUUGUCCAUGUAUAUUGUCAUUAUAAAUCUUUUUCCAGUACGAUGUACAAUGUACUAUAUAUGCUUUAUGUUGAGAGCACUGAUCUGUUUCCUAAGUCUGUGUGGUCAUAUCAAAUCUUUGUUCCCAGUGCCCUCAAUGUAAGCUGCAGUUUGAGGACAAGCUUAUUAUCAACCUAUAUAUGCCAGCAAAUUUUGGGGACGGUUGCGGCACCGUGCAGGUUAUAUUUCUUUCUCUACCCAAUAGUUUUGUCAUACAUGUUAAAACUAAUUUUCUCAUGA